CCUUCGGGAGGCAGCAGUGAGGAAUAUUGGUCAAUGGACGCAAGUCUGAACCAGCCAUGCCGCGUGCAGGAAGACGGCUCUAUGAGUUGUAAACUGCUUUUGUACGAGGGUAAAUCCCGAUACGUGUAUCGGGUUGAAAGUAUCGUACGAAUAAGGAUCGGCUAACUCCGUGCCAGCAGCCGCGGUAAUACGGAGGAUUCAAGCGUUAUCCGGAUUUAUUGGGUUUAAAGGGUGCGUAGGCGGAAGUUUAAGUCAGCGGUCAAAUGUCGGUGCUCAACACCGGCCUGCCGUUGAAACUGGUGUUCGUGAGUGAGCGAGAAGUAUGCGGAAUGCGUGGUGUAGCGGUGAAAUGCAUAGAUAUCACGCAGAACUCCGAUUGCGAAGGCAGCAUACCGGCGCUCAACUGACGCUGAGGCACGAAAGCGUGGGGAUCGAACAGGAUUAGAUACCCGAGUAGUC
rnacentral:rRNA from 1 species